AUGUGAAUAACUAAUCAUGCUCAUCUCCGAUUAGCAGCAUUCAUUAAAAAAAUCAUGCUAUGAUGAUGCGUGAAGCAUGUACAUGGAGAUAGUGAACUGGGAUAACGUAUAAUACCUUGAGGAUAUGGAUGUGGUGGCUGUUUGCUGCUGUGUUGAAUUAAAUGCAGGGGAUGGAAAUUGAAAUAGAGUAAUCUUGGUAACUACCUUAAUGAAUGAAGGUGAAAUUGUGGCAGGGAGUAUUAAAGUUCAAGGUGAAAUCUUGGAGGAGUUGAAGAGAGUUAAAGAAGUUUACCUCAUUGGCAGAGAUGGAUGAAUGAUUUCCUCUCUUCUUCACGUGAGCUGUUAGAGUAUAAUGGAGAAGGAGUGUUAGGAGGUUGUUUGCUGAAAUGAUAGGUAAAAAGGGUUGAAGGCUGGCUGGAGCUUGAGUACCUACUAAAUGGUAGGGUGGCUGAUGUGAGUCCUAUGUGUACCUUGGGUAUGGCUGUUGUGGCAGAGGUGGAGUGCUUACUGCUGUUGCAGUUGCUGCAGAAAAUGGGGAGGGGACGCAACUGAUCUUAUUCUCCCCUCUCCCUUUAUUACUCCUUCCGUCCACCAAAAAAACUCCCAGUUGGAGUUCGGCAUGGAGACUAAAAUAGCUGAAAAAGGUGGUGUAAAAGACUAAAAGGAUAGUGUUUAUGUAUUGUGAUUACUUUUA